UGAAUUUAAUACAUUUUAGGCUUGGAAUGCAUGGCCGUGGGUGCUGUUAUCACGCCGAGCCGCUAGGUAGCAGCACUGACGCUCUUCGCCCGCGCGGCUGUGCUAUUAGUAUAGAGCUGUCCUGUAUUCUCCCUCUACAGUAUUUGCUGUUACCACCCCUACCAGGAGACUCGAUUCAGUUUGUCACCAGUAGCUCAGACGAGUACAUAUGGUCUUUGGAAGGGUAUAUGCAGUGGAACCUAACAGAAGUAAAUGAAGAUGCGGCAGAUACGAAAGAAGAGUUAAGAACGUUGGUCGGAUACUAUCAAAUGGACACUAAAAGGAAAGGAAUAUUGCAUUGCAAAGAAAAUGGCUGUGGUUUCUUCACGUCCUCACCCCUGCUGUAUGUGCGACACUUUUCAGUUUUCCACAAGUCUGCACAUACAACUCACUUCAGUUGUGGUAAAGUUAUGUGUCUUCGGGAAUUUAGGUGCUACAGUUCAUUCGUAACUCACAUAUCAAGAGAUCAUCGGCAGCCAAAAGUUAAGAAAUUAUUAGUUUCAAGCGCUGCUUCUAAUUUUUCAUGUAAUGUUUGUACGGGAUCGUUUUUAUCCUUUCAUCUUUUAGUCAGUCACCUUAAAACACAUUUGAAAUGCAGAAAUGAAAGAGUGAUGUGCCCCUACAAUGGUUGCUAUAAAUCUUACACUAUUGCAUCAUCAUUCUCUGCUCACCUGUCAAGAUAUCACAAUUCUCAGAAACCUGAGCGAACAAUAAAUACUUAUGUAACUUUAGAGAGAGACAUGCCUAACGAAGAAAAUGUGGAUGAUCCCAGUGAGUUUUGCGUGCCUGAUACACAUGGCGAUGACUACACCACUGCUGAAAACAGCUUUAUUGGCAUGGGUACAGCUGAAACUCACCAGAUGCCAGAGCAGUCACUUACUAAAAGCUUAGCUCACUUUUGUUUCGUGCUCGUGUCGAAACUAAAUAUCCCAGAAAGAUCUGUGCAACUAAUACUUGACAAGUUUACUUCAGUCAUGGAUUUUUCACUUGAUUUAUUCAAAUCUGAAUUGGAAAAGAAACUAACAGGCAUGAUUGAUACUAAAACAUUGAAAAAAGUUUUGUAUGAAGUGUUUAGAAACAACAAUGACAUUAACACUAUACUGACACCAAGAAAAGGUCCUCUUCGUAGUUCUUAUUCAAGAAGAAAAUAUUUUGAAUCCAACUUCAACUUUGUUUCUCCUGUUGGAGUGCGACUGGGGUUUAAUAAAUAUAAUGAGGAAUGUCACAUGCACUACAUUCCUAUAUUACAUUCAUUGAAAGCAAUGUUGUCAAACGAGGCAGUAUACUCGCAAUAUCUGCUAACUACCAUUAAUGAACCCAAUUCUAUUGAAUCGGAAAGUAAUAUUGUACUAACAGAUACCAAAGAUGGAACAAAAAUUAAAAACCAUCCACUAUUUUCCAAUAAUUGUGAAGCUUUACAGGUAGUCUUAUUCCAGGAUGAAUUUCUUGUGGCCAAUCCUCUCGGCUCAAGCAAAAAAGAUUUGAAAAUGUUGGAAGUUUAUUUUUGUCUGGGCAACUUACCGCCAUGGAGUCGUUCGAAAGUGGAUAGCAUUAAGCUAGUUUUGCUCUGUAGGUCGAACGAUUUAAGGUAUUUUGGCACUGAAGUUAUUUUCGCAAGAUUAAUCAAUGAUUUGAAGGAACUAGAAAAUGUAGGCAUUGAGAUUAAAGGCAAGGCUAUUAAAGGGUCAAUUACCUACAUUGCUGGUGACAACUUAGGCAGUCACUUAAUCGGAGGGUUUACAGAGAACUUUAGUUCUGCACACUAUAUAUGUCGCUACUGUAACAUCAGCAGAGAAGAUCACGAGUCUGGCAUUAAAUGUGGUGAAAUAAGGACGCAAGAAACAUAUGACUCAGCAGUUAAAAUUCUGGAAACUAAUAGUUUGGAAAAUGUCGAAGGUAUCAAAUCGAAUUCUGUGUUUAACUCUCUUCGUUAUUUUCAUGUGGCAAAUGGCUUACCACCUUGUAUUGCUCAUGACAUAUUUGAAGGCAUAGCUCAAUAUGAUUUGCCACUUAUUCUGCAUUCAUUUGAAGACAAAGGUUGGAUUUCAUUCGAAAUUCUGAACAGGAAAAUAAAAAAAUUUAAGUACAAAAAUCAUGAGGUAAAUAAUAGACCCUGCCAGAUUGCGCAUAAAGGAAAAAGAUUAGGAGGGCAAGCAGCACAAACUUGGACACUUAUUCGCAUGUUACCGUUUAUAAUCGGAAACAGAAUACCUGAUUACUCUCAUUUAGCAUGGAAACUUUUUCUUCUCUUACUGCAAAUGUGUCAAAUAAUAACAUCUCCAAGAUUGAACAUGCAGAUAGUGGGACUUCUGGCAGAAAUAGUUACUGAGUAUAAUGACACUAGGAAGACCCUAUACCCUGACGAACGACUCAAGCCAAAACAUCAUUAUAUUUUACAUUAUCCCAGAUUGACACUGAUGUACGGACCACUAGCCUUGCUCAGUACAUUGCGGUUCGAAGCAAAACAUAGGUGUUUCAAGAAAUGGCAAGUGAUUUCAGGAAAUACGAAAAAUGUCACCAAAACCCUAAGUUACAAACACCAAUUACUAAUGGCAUCAUAUUCUGAACAAAGUGUCAUCAAUGAAUCAUCUGUGAACAAUGGAGUGCCAUACAAACCUGUACUAUACAGUGAUGAUUUUAAUAAAUGUAUCGAAGAUGCAACACUGCAUAUUGUUGAUCUUGUGGUUGGAGUGUCUUGUACACAUAAAGGAACAAUAUACAGGUCAAGUGAUGUCAUUGUUUUGAAGUCUCGAUUGGUUUUGAACUUAAUAGUAAUAGAAGCCUUUCUGCAAACAGUCAACAGAGAAGUAUUUAUUAUUGGUUUUCGUGCUACAGCACAUCAUCAACAAGAUUUAGGCGUGCAUAAGGUUGAAAAGGAAGAACAAAUGGUGUGUAUUUCAAUUGAAAUGCUUCAAGAUAACGAACCCUACGCAAUUUACGAUGACCUUGGCUACCCGGCUAUUGUUCUGAAACAUCUAACCAGCUAGCUGAAUUCACAUGGAAGAAGUCUUAAACUUUUUUAAGUCAAUUGUAAUGACAGUUGAUGAAAACUUAUUAAAGAUGAAGUUGGAAGAAAUAGGAGUCACAGAAAUGGAUGAUCUUCAAUUCAUUACAUGCGAGAAGCAUUUAGUUCCUCCGCUGAAAUUGGUGUCAGCACUGAAAAUGGAUAGAGCCAUAGUGAAGAGACUACCACAGGAAAUAGUCUGUACUCCAGACGUACCUAUGAAAAGCAUUCCAUCAACUUCUGAUACAACACAAAAUAAUGCACUGUUUUGGCCAAACGAGGAUUUGUCAUUUCACCCUGUGAGCAGCACGCCUAAGAGAGAACUGCAGAAUUUUGUUAUUCCCUACCAUAAGUUUCCCCCAGUUAUCAUUGAAUCCAUGAAAGACAAAAAACCUCUCGAAAAGCCAUCUCUCCUUAAUGUUGCUGUCAGGAUCAUUUCUAAUGAAGUACAUGCCAUUUGCAAACAUCCAGGUACUGCAUUUUACGAAUCUGUAGCUAAAGAGAUGGUGGGAAAAUACCCAGAAACAUUUGGCUUAUUUUAGACAAUGGCGACAUGUUAGGGGAGGGACAUCAUCUUCUGCAACGGAAAUUUGAGGAUCGUUUCCGAAAUUUAAAUCGGGGACAGAAUCACAAAUCCAUUGAUGAUGAUGAGGAAGAGGAAACGCCCAAAAAGCGGCCACCCACCAAGAAGGACACCUACGGGUGCGUAAAUUUUAUGCCAAAGGAGCUACCCGCCAACGAAAGUCCUCAAACACAAGAAGAUAAGCGCCUGUGGCUUAUCGAAGAGUAUAAUAAACCAAGCUCGUUGCGGGAUCAAACGAAAGUUACAGAAUUCAUGAUGUUGACGUACCCUACUCAAAGGGCUACCAUUGUGAACAGGUAUUAUAAGGAUGUAUACAAGCAUUGGCCGUUUCUUUGCGAGAGAGAACACAUUGAGCAUCAUUUCAAAUGCCUGAUGGGAUUUGAUUUAUUCCAAACUGCGGAGAAGUCUUUGGAAAGUUUAAUGCCACUGAUGGUUAAGUAUUAUUCGUCAAAGGUUUACUGUGAUGGUAAAAAACUGACGCAAGAGAAAAAGACUCUUAGGGACCAAAUUAUACACAUCGAGAAGCACUGUUGUAACAGUAAGGAAAUGUUGGUCCCAGUAAUAGAAAUAUUGAUUGAGUUGUGGAAACAAGACAAACAAGAAGUUUUCGUUACUUAUGAGGAAACAACUUCUUCUGCUGAGGUAGAAGCAGCAGCAAAACAGCCACAUCCACACAUUUCUAUACUUGGCAACAGUGCACAAUGCUUGGUGACCAUGGAAAACUUCAGCAUGAUACCAGUCAUGCCAGUGUAUGAUGCUCUUCUGAUUACAUUUGCACUCUAUUAUGUUCAUUCAGUGGCAUAUCCUCCAAAGUCAGCGGCUGUAUGGGAGUUUAUACAAAGAGUUGUCUUCAAAAUUGAUGGCGAGGGAUCUAAGGUGAAAAGGAUUAAAUCGUCGCCAGCUACUGUCAACAGUCGAGUGGCAACUCUUCUUCAAUCCUUGAGACAGUUCAAAGAAACUUGGAAAAUUUAAAAAAUAUAUAUAUAUAUAUAUAUAUUUUAACAGUUAUGGUUGAAAGUGUUUGAUAUUUAUUUGCUGGACUGUUUUGAGUUAAAUAUGUAAAUAGUAUAUUAUUCUUGCUACAUCAAAAUUGUACCGAUA